rnacentral:lncRNA from 1 species
CAACAUAUAUAAGGUAGACAUUGUGAGAUUAGAAUCUCUUCAAUAAGUUACCUUGGUUGGAGAAAGCAAGGGCCUUUAAAAGAGUGAAGUGCUGGGGGUCCUGGGUGCUGCCACCAUUUGGAGUCAUUGGUACAAUCAGCACCUCACAGCUAUGACUGGAGUGAGCUUCUGAAGACUUACUGAGAACCUUUGAUGGAAGUAAAACCUCUGAAAAACUUUAUUGCUGUUGACAGCUGAUAGGAAGGGACUAAAGAAGACUUUUGAGGACAACUGAACUGCUCCUUCAGAAACAGAGCUGCUGUUGGACACAUGCCUUUCACCGGCUCCAGUGACAUCUGCAUCAAUUAGUAGUGCUUUUACAAGCAUUAACUCCAGCAUGAACUUUGAAAUUUUGGAAAUCUGUUGUGCCUACAGGGUAAAAGGUUGGUAAAAGACCAACCUUCUCCAACAUAUUGUCUGUUCAUCUCAGUCCUUAAAAUCCCAUUGCCUCUUAUCUCAGUCAGAAAAGAGAUUGUCUGCAAAUUGAGAGGAAUAUCAUGAAUAAAAAAGAUAACCUUUGGACUUGCA